UACGUAGGGUGCGAGCGUUAAUCGGAAUACUGGGCGUAAAGCGUGCGCAGGCGGUGAUGUAAGACCGAUGUGAAAUCCCCGGGCUUAACCUGGGAACUGCAUUGGUGACUGCAUUGCUGGAGUAUGGCAGAGGGGGGUGGAAUUCCACGUGUAGCAGUGAAAUGCGUAGAGAUGUGGAGGAACACCGAUGGCGAAGGCAGCCCCCUGGGCCAAUACUGACGCCUCAUGCACGAAAGCGUGGGGAAC
rnacentral:rRNA from 1 species